UACGUAGGCAGCAAGCGUUGUUCGGAAUUACUGGGCGUAAAGAGUGUGUCGGCGGUGUUCUAAGUUUGUCGUGAAAUCUCCCGGCUUAACUGGGAGGGUGCGGCGAAAACUGGAAUGCUAGAGGAUGGGAGAGGUAAGCGGAAUUCCUGGUGUAGCGGUGAAAUGCGUAGAUAUCAGGAGGAACACCUGUGGUGUAGACAGCUUACUGGACCAUUUCUGACGCUGAGACACGAAAGCGUGGGUAGCAAACAGG
rnacentral:rRNA from 1 species